UACGAAGGGGGCUAGCGUUGUUCGGAAUUACUGGGCGUAAAGGGCGCGUAGGCGGUGCUGUAAGUCAGGCGUGAAAGGCCCGGGCUCAACCUGGGAACUGCGCUUGAUACUGCGGCGCUUGAAGACGGGAGAGGAUGGCGGAAUUCCCAGUGUAGAGGUGAAAUUCGUAGAUAUUCGCAAGAACACCAGUGGCGAAGGCGGCUCACUGGCCCGGUACUGACGCUGAGGUGCGAAAGCGUGGGGAGCAAACAGG
rnacentral:rRNA from 1 species